rnacentral:tRNA from 7 species
GCGGGUAUGGCGAAACAGCAGACGCGCCAGGUUUAGGACCUGGCGGGAGAAAUCCCGUGGGGGUGCAAAUCCCUCUACCCGCACUA